GUCUACAGCAAUGCCACCCUGAACAUGCUGUAUCUUGUCUGAUCUUGGAAGCUAAGCACGGUUGGGCCUGGUUAGCACUUGGAUGGGAGACCACGUAGAAAUACCAGGUGCUGUAGGCU
ensembl:rRNA 5S_rRNA 5S ribosomal RNA